AUUGAACGCUGGCGGCAUGCCUUACACAUGCAAGUCGAACGGCAGCACGGGAGCUUGCUCCUGUGGCGAGUGGCGAACGGGUGAGUAAUACAUCGGAACGUACCCAGUAGUGGGGGAUAACGCACCGAAAGGUGCGCUAAUACCGCAUACGACCUACGGGUGAAAGCGGGGGACCGUAAGGCCUCGCGCUAUUGGAGCGGCCGAUGUCUAACUAGCUAGUUGGCGGGGUAAAAGCCCACCAAGGCGACGAUCAGUAGCUGGUCUGAGAGGACGAUCAGCCACACUGGGACUGAGACACGGCCCAGACUCCUACGGGAGGCAGCAGUGGGGAAUUUUGGACAAUGGGGGCAACCCUGAUCCAGCAAUGCCGCGUGUGCGAAGAAGGCCUUCGGGUUGUAAAGCACUUUUGUCAGGGAAGAAAUCUUUCAGGCUAAUACCCUUGGAAGGAUGACGGUACCUGAAGAAUAAGCACCGGCUAACUACGUGCCAGCCGCCGCCGCAG
rnacentral:rRNA from 1 species